rnacentral:rRNA from 1 species
AGAAUCAACGCUGGCGGCGUGCCUAACACAUGCAAGUCGAACGGGAAAGUGGAGCAAUCCAUGAGUAUAGUGGCGACCGGGUGAGUAACACGUGACUACCUACCCUUGAGUGGGGGAUAACCUCGGGAAACCGAGGCUAAUACCGCAUAAUAUCGAAAGAUCAAAGGAGUAAUCCGCUUUUGGAGGGGGUCGCGGCUGAUUAGCUAGUUGGUAAGGUAAUGGCUUACCAAGGCGAAGAUCGGUAUCCGGCCUGAGAGGGCGCACGGACACACUGGAACUGAAACACGGUCCAGACUCCUACGGGAGGCAGCAGUGGGGAAUUUUGCGCAAUGGGGGAAACCCUGACGCAGCAACGCCGCGUGGAGGAUGAAGCCCCUUGGGGUGUAAACUCCUUUCGACUGGGAAGAUUAUGACGGUACCAGUGGAAGAAGCACCGGCUAACUCUGUGCCAGCAGCCGC